rnacentral:rRNA from 1 species
CUGCUGCCUCCCGUAGGAGUUUGGGCCGUGUCUCAGUCCCAAUGUGGCCGUUCACCCUCUCAGGCCGGCUACUGAUCGUCGCCUUGGUGGGCCGUUACCCCUCCAACCAGCUAAUCAGACGCGGGUCCAUCUUACACCACCGGAGUUUUUCACACAAAUCCAUGCGGCUUCGUGCGCUUAUGCGGUAUUAGCACCUAUUUCUAAGUGUUAUCCCCCAGUGUAAGGCAGGUUACCCACGCGUUACUCACCCGUCCGCCACUAAG